UUACAAUGAAAUUCGUUACAUGAAUUUUAAUCGUUGUGUUCACUAUUUAGUCAGCAGUACUAGAAGUUAGGGAUAUUCCAGAUACAUUUCAGGAUGAACCUAAAAUGUGCUACUGUGUAAGCUUUACAGGCUGCAGUCCUCGUCCUCAUCGUCUUCCUCUUCCUCCUCGUCGCCUUCCCCUUCAUGGGGUUUCUCAGGUUUGUCACGAUGGUGAUGAAGCUCGAUAAGCAGGUAGUACACGACUGCUGCGACCACACCCCCCACCAUGGGCCCUGCCACUGGGAUCCACCACCAGUGGCCUGCCGUGCUGCAUGGAGGGGCAAAAAAAGUCACCUGAACACCUCCAUCCCCCAUCCGGCCACAGCAGUGAAGAGUCUAGGUCCCAGGUCCCUGGCAGGGUUCAGGGGGUAGCCACAGUUGAGAUUCAUGGACACUCCGAUGGCCAUGAUGAUCAGGCCGAUGGCCAGUGGCUCCAUGCCUUUGGGGGCUCCAAUGUUUCCUCCAUCUAUAAUUGCCAGGAUGCAGAGAACCAACAUGCCAGUACCCACCACCUGUACGAAGACAGCAGAUAAUGGCUGCACUUUCUUGGCUCACAAAAUUGCUUUGUAAACACUAUAUUACAAUUAUAGUCUCUCACUGCUCUAUGGUUUUUUGCAUUGUAUGAAAAAAUACGCCAUAGUCAAGUAACACACAAUUUCAUGACAUGGGUGAGAUUGGGGAAGGUGGGUGCUUUUUUUGUUGUUUGUGAUGCGAUGGCAGAGAUCACAAUGUGAAAACAAGCAUACAUCUAGAAAUGGAAGGGAUUGUGUUGUAGGAACGUGUUAAACGUAUCUCUCGUCUGGCUGCUCAGUACAAUAUGGCUAUAUAAGACACAGCCUGUCUUCAUCUUAAUUCUUCAUUUCUUGUGUUACAGUUAAGAAUGUUAUUUAUGAUGACUUCUGGAAUGGAUUCAUUCAAUAAUUUACUUGUGUUAAAGCAGCAUUUAACACUUUUCAAGCUCCAACAUGUUAUUCUUGGACCAGUGCACAGACUUAACAGACUGGAAAUGCGGUUGAGUAUAGAUCUGACCUUCCGGUGAAUACCAGGAAACGGGUCAUUAGACACAAAAAAAACAAGCAAAGCAAAGAGGGUUGUUCUCAGACUAAAUGGGACAAUCAAUUUUGCAUUAGGGACAUUUCCCAGACGUUGCAGUAUUUAAAGCAGGGGUCUCAAACAUGCGGUCCGCGGGCCAAAUGCGGCCCGCGCAAGUUUGAUAUGGAUGCUGUAUGGUAUCACAUACCCAGAAAAAAAUAUUACGUUUGAUUAAUGUUCAUGUUAAAGGUUAAAUAACUGUUAAUAGUUAUCCUCCCUAUCCGUGUGGAAGUGGUAAGUUUUUGGCU